CCUACGGGUGGCAGCAGUGGGGGAUAUUGCACAAUGGAGGCAACUCUGAUGCAGCGAUGCCGCGUGAGGGAAGACGGUCUUCGGAUUGUAAACCUCUGUCUGUGGGGAAGAAAAUGACGGUACCCAAAGCGGAAGCUCCGGAUAACUCCGUGCCAGCAGCCGCGGUAAUACGUAGGGCGAGAGCUUUGUCCGGAAUUACUGGGGGUAAAGGGAGCGUAGACGGGCGAGAAAGUGGAAGGGAAAAUCUACCGGCUAAACUGGGAGCUGAGUGCAAGACUUCUGUUCUAGAGUGUAGUAGAGGCAGGCGGAAUUCCUAGUGUAGCGGUGAAAUGCGUAGAGAUGAGGAGGAACACCAGUGGCGAAGGCGGCCUGCUGGGCUUUAACUGACGCUGAGGCUCGAAAGCGUGGGGAGCAAACAGGAUUAGAUACCCCAGUAGUC
rnacentral:rRNA from 1 species